rnacentral:lncRNA from 1 species
CUUCGCCGCAGCCAGAGUGCUUUGUCCGAGCUCAAAAAAGCCGUCUCCAUGGAAGCGGCCCUUCCGCUCGGAGCCCGGCGGCCUGGAGGGAGACCCGGCGGGGAUGCGAGGAUUCCGCCCCAGCCCCAGAGGACGCGGCGGAGAGCCUGGAGGAGGCGCUUUGAGAGUCGAGGUCUCCCGCCCGCGCGCCUCCCUGGCGCAGACCUCUUUUAACUUUUUGGCGUGGAGUGCGCGUCCUGACGUGCCCCCUGAGCUACAGCUUACUGAGCUUUACUGGCUUCGCCGGACAGCCGUCCCCAGGUGGAGAGACAGCGCGUCGCGCGCUGCCCGGGCCCCGCAGGGCCUGGCGCCUGGGGCCCUUGCGCCGCUUUGGGGCGAGGGGAUCACACCGCGGGCUCCCGGAGCUUAGCGUCUUCCACGCGGCGCUGUGUGUCAUCCACGCAGUGUGCUCUCGCUGCCGUGUUCAGGUCACUGCGAGGGUGAGCCCCGCUUUAUCUACCCCUUCUGCUGUUGAUGGGCACUCGUCUGGGGCUAGAAGGGAUAAGGUUGCUGUGAGCGUUCUCGUGUGUUUUUGGUGCACGCGCACACACAUUUCUCUGGGGUGCAGACCUGUCUAGUAGUGGAACUGCCGUUUCCCAGCACUUUGGAGCAAAGCCCUGUUGCAGUCUGAAGCGGAAAAGGCAGACGGGCCUUCCAUGUUCGUGAUUCCAGCCAGGCACAGAAGGGAAGGACAGGGACAGCAGCCGCGCGGAGGCGAGGAGGGACACUGGGCGCUGCUGUCCCCUCUCAGGGGCAGCCACUCCUCUUGUGGACGCAGGUGUGGUCACCAGAAGGGAAGGACAGCAGAGGACUCUUCAGGGACCUUCCUGGAUCCCCCUGCAAUGGGAGUGGCCUACUUGCUUGACUUGAGGGUGAGACUUGGUCAGCCCUUGACUGUAGGGGGCAGGACCAUGGGCUUCAGUGGGGCAGCACCCAUGACCCACGCCUCUGCUUCCAUUCCCUGCUUACUGCCCGGGCCUCUGGGCAGGGGAGUCUAGUCUCCCUUCCCAGGCUUCCAAUGCCUCGCCCCCUGCUGUGGUAAGGAUUCGCGCUGGUCCCUAUUUAUUAAUCAGGGAACUUGGGGUUCCAGUUUUCUCCCCUUCUCUGCAUCUCAUCCCCUUGAGAGCCCCCUGGAGCAGAGGAUAACGCACGAGGGGACUGGCUGUGUAUAUUUUGAUAACAAUAUCAAAAUACUGUCAAAUACUAAACGGAAAAGAAAUAGGAAAACAUUGAACUUUAUUAAAAUGAACUUCAAAAGACACCAUUAAGAGUAAAAAGAUGACUCACAAAAAAGUUGCCUUUUGUUCAGUAAACGACUCAGGACCAGAAAAUAUGAAGACCCCUACAACAAGAAAAAUAUAGAUAGCUCAGUUAAAAAUUGACAAAAGACUUGAAAAGAUAUUUCACAAAAGGAGAGAUCCAGACAGUCAAUCCACACACGAAAGGGUACUUAGCAUCAGGGAACUGCAAAUAGUGACAUUCGAUUCCAUAUCACAGCCACUGGAUGGCUAAAAUAGCAACGCCAAGUGCUGAUGAGACUGUGGAACAACCAGCUGGGCUCUCAUACCCUGCUGAUGGGAGAGUGGAUUGGAGCAACCACGUGGAAACAUCUAAUGGAGGUUUCAGAGCUGUGGUAGAAACUUCUAGUACUGACAACAGCCAGUACCUCCCCGCUUGGCAGCUGAGACUAUGGGACCAGUUCUGGCCAAUGGAAUGUGAGGGGAAAUGACGGAUGUCAAUUCCAGGCUGAAGCUUUUAGUUGCCAGAGCCAGGUCCUCCAGUCCUACCUUUCCACUGUGGCAGUCCCUCUGAAGUCCCAAGAUCAAGAGCUGACAGCUGAAUCCUUGCAUGGAGAGUCGCCUGGACCUGCAGUGGACUCUGGAUGAGGGAGUAUACACCCCUCUCCUGAGAUGGCAAACAGGAGGUCUGGAUCAAUCCUACAGUGUCGGCAAAUGUCUGGAUUACCCUGCAAGUUCAGACCAGUGAGGAUCCUUCAGCCACUGGGGGAAAGGCUCUGCUGACACAGCAACAGCGAGCAGGGGGCGCCAGCCAGCCAGCUGGCCGUGCAGUGUUCCAGCGGCAGGCGUAGUUUUCUCCCACCUCUCAUGGACAUUGAGUGCACCUUGUGAAAGGGAGGCAUGACAGCUCCACAUCUGUGUUCACCCUUGUGGAUCCCAGGCCUCUGAGCCCAAGCUAAGCCAUCAGAUCCCCUGUGACCUGCACGUAUACAUCCAGACGGCCUGAAGCAACUGAAGAACCACAAAAGAAGUGAAAAUAGCCAGUUCCUGCCUUAACUGAUGACAAUCCACCAUUGUGAUUUGUUCCUGCCCCACCCUAACUGAUCAAUUGGCCUUGUGACAUUCCUUCUCCUGGGCAACGAGUCUCAUGAUCUCCCCACCCUGCACCUUGUGAGCCCCGUCCCUGCCCACAAGAGAUAACCACCUUUAACUGUAAUUUUCCACUACCUACCCAAAUCAUAUAAAACUGUCCCACCCCUAUCUCCCUUUGCUGACUUCUUUUUCAGACUCAGUCUGCCUGCACCCAGGUGAUUAAAA